rnacentral:snRNA from 1 species
GUGCUCACUUCGGCAGCACAUAUACUAAAAUUGGAACAAUACAGGAAAGAUUAGCAUGGCCCCUGAGCAAGGUAACAUGGAAAUUCGUGAAGCAUUCCAUAUUUUU